rnacentral:misc_RNA from 1 species
GAUGAAGAACGCAGCGAAAUGCGAUAAGUAGUGUGAAUUGCAGAAUUCAGUGAAUCAUCGAAUCUUUGAACGCACAUUGCGCCCCUUGGUAUCCCGAGGGGCAUGCCUGUUCGAGCGUCAUUUCACCACUCAAGCCUGGCUUGGUGUUGGGCGACGUCCCCUUUAGGGACGCGCCUCGAAACGCUCGGCGGCGUGGCACCGGCUUUAAGCGUAGCAGAAUCUUUCGCUUUGGAAGUCGGGGCCCCGCCUGCCGGAAUACCUACUCGUAAGGUUGACCUCGGAUCAGGCAGGGAUACCCGCUGAACUUAAGCAUAUCAAUAAGCGGAGAA